rnacentral:other from 1 species
AAUGGCCUGCUGUAUUCGAUAGAAUGGAAUAUGUAUUGAUCCAACACCUUUUAAUCGGGAGUUUAACUUCUUGUGGGGAAUGUAUGCCUUUAUAUUUAAGGAAACAAGAAACAUGAGAGAGAACACCCACCUGCCAUUGCAGGUUCAAACAUUCCAUUUAACGGUACAGCGGGCUUAAU